UGUGACAACCAGUAAAUAUUAAUUCUGGACGCAACUAACCAAAAAGUGUUUGUACUAAUAGUAGGUACUUAAAAGACUUUCAAAUCUACAUUCCAUCGUCUCGGAACAGAGUAUGAAGCACUUGGCAUAUGUAAUUCUGUUGCUAGUUAUUUUGAAGAUGGCCACCUGCCUGAUGGACGGGCUAUUCUUGAAUCCUGAAGUGUUGAAGGCAGACCACGAGAUCUUGAGAGGAAACCAUCUCAUGGACUACGAUCCUGUACGAGUAGACUACGUCAAUAAUGCGAUCAUCGAAAUACCCGUGGAUAACUUGGAGAUUGUUUUUGAUUUGAAAGAUAGCAUUGUGUAAUGAACUAAAAACGAAUAUUGUAAUUCAAUGGUUUUAAUUUUUUUUGUAUUAAAUAAAUAUAAUGUGUUUUAUA